rnacentral:rRNA from 1 species
UACGUAGGGCGCAAGCGUUAUCCGGAAUUAUUGGGCGUAAAGAGCUCGUAGGCGGUUUGUCGCGUCUGCCGUGAAAGUCCGGGGCUCAACUCCGGAUCUGCGGUGGGUACGGGCAGACUAGAGUGAUGUAGGGGAGACUGGAAUUCCUGGUGUAGCGGUGAAAUGCGUUGAUAUCGAUAGGAACUCCGGUGGCGAAGGCGGCAUACUGGAUCACUUCUGACGCUGAGGCGCGAAAGCCAGGGGAGCAAACGGG